rnacentral:lncRNA from 1 species
GAUGAUUCAAAGGAGAAAGAGAGCAGAGAGGGCCUCCGCCAGGCAGGAGAGAGAACAGAGAUGUCGCUGCUCUGAUCAAGUCUGGGCCACAUGUGAUGAGCCUCGGCGCACAACGACUCCCCGUCUCGGGAUGGUCCAUGAAAUGUCACCUGUACAGGAAGGAGCUGUCCCUGUUCCUCAGGUGGGAAUAUAUUCCACUGAGUCUUUGCUACAUGCCAGGCCCGGUAGGAAGCGCCUUUCUUACAUUAUCUCACUAAAUAUUCAUGACAACCUUAGGGAGCAGGAAUUGUUGUCCCCUUUUUAAAAUAAUACAACUUGGCAAUUUAUUCUCAUUCCUUUAUGACCACACCUUUCUUUUUAUUGUGAUAAAACAUACAUAAUAUAAAAUUUACCCUUUUCAACCAUUUGUAAGUGUACAAUUCAGUAGUAUGACAUACCUUCGCGUUAUUGUGCAAACAUCCACCAUCCAUUUCCAGAACUUUUUAAUCAUCCCAAACAGAACUUCUGUACCCAUUAAACAAACACCUCCCCCUCCCUCAGCCUCUAGUAACUACUGUUCUGCUUUCUAUCUCUAUAAAUAUGCCUGGUCUAGGUACCUCUUAUAAGUGGAAUCAUGUAAUACUUGUCUUUUUGUGUCUGGCUUAUUUCCCUGAGCAUAGUGUUUUCAAAGUUCAUCCAUGUUGUAGUACCCCCAUUUUAUUUAUUUAUUGUCUAUUGAGACAUCAUUGACAUGUAACACCGUGUGAGUUUAGAGUGCACAAUGUGUUGAGUGGUCUCCCCAUGUUAUAGACUAGGAAACUGAGACAUACUAAAUACCUUGCCCAGACCCGUGAGGGACUAGGUGGCAGAGGAAGAAAUCAAAUCUGGGGAUGUCACACUCUCAGAUCCAUGCUCCACACAGGUGUUUCUCUAAAUGCAGACCACAGACCACUACAUCAGAAUCACUUUGAGUGAUAUAGAAAAAUGUAGAUUCCUGGCCCCUACCCCAGUCCUACUAAAUGAUAAUCUUUGUAUUUUUUUUUUUUUUUUUUGGAGGAAGAUUAGCCCUGAGCUAACUACUGCCAAUCCUCCUCUGUUUUGCUGAGGAAGACUGGCCCUGAGCUAACAUCCAUGCCCAUCUUUCUCUACUUUAUACAUGGGACGCCUACCAAACCAUGGCUUUUGCCAAGUGGUGCCAUGUCUGCACUCGGGAUCCGAACCAGCACACCCCGGGCCACCGAGAAGUGGAACGCGCAAACUUAACCGCUGCACCACCAGGCCAGCCCCAAUCUUUGUACUUUUAACAAGCUCCAGAGUUGAUUCUUAUGUAAAACUAAAGUUUGAGAAUUACUUCCUUCUUCUCCAUUGAAAGUACUACUGAGAAAUGAAGGUGGCCUGGCGGAGAAGAAGAAGGCACAAGAAUGAACUCAAGGGUGUGUGGUCUCACUAAGAGGGAGAAACGGGGAAAUAAGAAUCCAGGAGGUCUCCAAGCCUAUGUACUCUGUUGUGCUCUCCUGGAACCAUUUCCAGUGUGUCUACCCUGUAUCUCCUUUGUGGCCUCACAACUUAUCCUUUUAUGAAGUGCAAAGAUAAAUCUCUUAUAGUUAGUCGUAUUUUUCAUUCCCACUUUUAUGGAUCAUGUCAACGUGUAUUAUGUACGGAAAACAAACUAGCUUACCCAAUGCUGCAAAAAUGUAGCAUCCCAAUGUGUGGCACAAGAAAAGAAAGAUACGAAUGGUGAGCUGAGAUUCUGGCAAAACAGUGCACAAUGUAGCUGGAAGACAUGUCACAGUUAGUGUGGGACCGAAAACUCACCUUCAGGAAGACUUUCACCUUGAAAUCUGGUGAUGUGUGGAACAGAUGUUUUAAUUUACCUAAGAUAAUUUGCAUAAUCAAUUUAACAUGUGGUUUAUCAAACCUGCCAAAGAGCAGGUGACAAUGUGGAAUUCCUAUGAUUACUAAUUUGACACAUCAUUGAGAUUAGUUUGACCUUUCUUGCUCUCAGGAUACCCAGAGGUCUUUACAGGCAGGAAUAGUGUGCUAGGAGGCGCCCUCUUAGCUUCCUAAAUAAAGCAAACACUUUCUGAGCCUGGCCUCA